UUGUGCACGUUAUUGUAUUCCUCGAAAUAUAGGAAACAGUGAUCGUUUGUAGAAUGUAGAAUAAUCUAAACUUACAAUUCAUUGAGAUCUUUGGAUCUAUGGGAUUCGUAUGAAUCAUAGAAAGUGGAAUGAAAAAAAAAAAAGUAUUAGAAUAAGUUUCGAAAGAAUUCGUGUUCGUCCUUUAAGGACAGGGUGCUCAUUAACCCCGAAGGGUCGAAAGAUGAGACGGGUCUUUGUACAUGUUACUAAGUUCAAAGAUGCUGCGAGACCUCCAAAUGCGUCCAGGAUGAAUCAACUUUGGAAUUUCUUAUGAAGAAACUCUGAGGGGUCAGCAAUGUGCCCUUGCAAAGAACGAAUGCAAGGCGGAUGCAUCUCUCCAACGAGUAGGCGUGAGACUCGACGACUCUUUCGUACUCUUUGGUUGCAAUUAACAUCGUUAUCGCUCGAUGUGCUACCCGGUGAAUAAUUAAUUAUCUACUAAGUAAUUACCCAGUGGGUUGAACUCAUGGACCAUCAUCCAACUGGUUCCAACGAGAGAGUCUGAGUCGUUGCUUUGUCUCUUCUCAGAGGAUAGAGGAACCGAGGUCAAGCGAGAGCUCAGCGAUUGGACCAUGGUCGGUCGAAGCUUGAAGAAACCAGUUUCCGUUAAAAACGUACGAUUGUGGCGCCAACAAGCGGCCUUUGCUUGUGAUUGAGCAAGUAAGAGUCCAGCAGCUUUGCUGGAGUGUCCGUUCUCCAGGGCGGGAGGAUGUUGACCCUCAUGCGCCAUCUUGAAUGACGGGAUACCGUCGAUCGUAGUACUAC